rnacentral:rRNA from 1 species
UACGUAGGGAGCAAGCGUUGUUCGGAUUUACUGGGCGUAAAGGGCGCGUAGGCGGCAAAUUAAGUCAGCUGUGAAAUCUCCGAGCUUAACUCGGAACGGUCAGCUGAUACUGCUUUGCUAGAGUGCCAGAAAGGGCAAUCGGAAUUCUUGGUGUAGCGGUGAAAUGCGUAGAUAUCAAGAGGAACACCUGAGGCGAAGGCGGGUUGCUAGGCUGACACUGACGCUGAGGCGCGAAAGCCAGGGGAGCAAACGGG